GUCAACAACCUCGCCCACAAGGGGCGAGGCUUGGAAGGAAACUGACAAGCCUUAGUUGACAAGGGGGCUUUGGAGAAAUUCAAUGCAGAAGUUAAGAGAGAGAAAUACAUACACACCUACGGAUAUUCCGCACGUCCGUGGCAACUGUGAUUCGCGGUUAAUAAGCCCUGAGGGUAGGGGCCGUGCUGCGAAUUUAAAAACCUCUUUUAACAACCCCGAUGCGGCCCUAAC
rfam:Chlamydiae bacterium RIFCSPHIGHO2_12_FTLL_49_9 rifcsphigho2_12_scaffold_23595, whole genome shotgun sequence.